ensembl:lncRNA
ACCCGUCUGUGCAGCAGUCUCCACAAGAUAUACCAAAGAAAUCAAGAGUCGAGAAGGCUGAAAAAGGUAGGAUUCAUUCAUUCAUUCCAAGGCUCAAUGUACAUUUGUAGGCUUUCAAUGUAUUAUUACAAAAAUUGUGCCAACAGUAAUACCUCUAUGCAUGGGAAUCUAAAUUAGUCCUAAUAUGAAGACAUUUUUUGCCAAAAAGGGGCUUCAACUAUCAUUAGGUUAACUGUUGAAAUGAACAUUUACUACUGUGUGACUUAGGCUACUCAUUUACUUAUCUGAUGUGUAAAGUGAUGUUUAUCCACAAAUUCCAGUGACUCAGUCUUAAGUAUUUUUGGAGAUUUAAAUGUAAAUGUUUUGUGUGUCUAGUUAAGUGUCAAGCUGUUGACCUCCCAGCCAUCAGACAUUAGCAUACAUCACACACAUCAAAUGAACACUGACAUCUGUAACUAAAUUUCAUGUUUCAUCUGUCAUUGAAACCUUAUAGUGUUAUCACCUCUGUGGGAUCAUCCACAGAUCUCUGCAGCAGAAAAGGCUAAAGAAACUGGUGAGCAUGUUUCGCAGUCAACUACACUUUACAGAACUUUGAAGUAUGGGAUUUUUAAUCUCAGUAUUGCUCUUUAUGUGCUUGUGUGCUUCUUUGAUCACUUUAUCACUAUUUAAAUCUGAUUUAAAGUGUCAAUAUCUCAUUAUGAGGUCUUUUUUUAUUACAGGAGCCCCUACCCUGCAAACUGCUCUGCAGGAGGCAAAGCAGACCAUUGAAGUUCAAAAAAGGGAGAUUGCUACCCUAAAAGAAUGGGUAGAUACACUUAAAGAGGAAAGAAAUUUCCUCCGCGAAAGACUUACAGAGGCUCUUGCAUUUAGAAGUAAUAUCCCACCUAUAAAGCAGGCACCUGAACAGAGGAAACAGGAGUCCGAUAUAUCUGACUCCUCAUCUUCUGAUUCAUCGUCUGAGCACGAUUCGGAGUCCUCAGAGACCAAGAAUAGGAAGAAGAAGAAGAAGUCCCAGUCCAAAACGGCAAAAAAACGGGGCAAGACACUAAGAGUCAAAACCCCUGACGACUCCAUCCGCCGCUACACAAUGGUAUUGGAAAAGGUUAAAAAGGAUCGCAUCAGCAAAGCUGAAGCUUAUUUUAGGCUUGGGGUAGAUCGGAAUACCAUUGUGUCUCAGGCUCCGAUUGCAGAACUUGCAGCAACUAAUCCAGAUCUGUUCCAUACCCUGAGGUCCACUUUUAAAAGAAAGGACAGCCUGAAAAGGUUUGUUGAAACUUGCAGGGGGUUUUGUGAGCAGGAGCCUACAGCUUCAGCUAUUUUAAAGAAAAAAUAUGAUGGAUCCUUACUGGAUAUUUACAAGAACUAAGCAAGUUUGUAUGUUAGUAUGCCAUGUGUUUGUGCCAUUUAUUUGUUCAUUUUAUUUUUGUUUAGCAUUAAAUAUUUCAUGAGGAGUCCACAUGAGUAGCUUGUUACAUUAAAAAGUGGUUCCUUACCCUUAAAAAAGACCAAGCUGUUUGUGAAACCUUUUUUCAUCUUUUUUUUUUUAUUUUAUUUUUUUUGGAAAUCCUUUAACAGCUUUAUGGUUUUAAGUGUUUUCAGAUAAAGGCACUAAAAGUUCAUGGUAUAUGUACUGUAUUCCUAAUAAGCUCUUCCCAGGCAUUGCUGUUCAUUUAACUGGGUUAUACUGUUUCUGAAUAAAACAGAAAGUUAAGAUCA